UACGGGGGGGGCAAGCGUUGUUCGGAAUUACUGGGCGUAAAGGGCUUGUAGGCGGCCAACUAAGUCAAACGUGAAAUCCCUCGGCUUAACCGGGGAACUGCGCUUGAUACUGGAUGGCUUGAGAUUGGGAGAGGGAUGCGGAAUUCCAGGUGUAGCGGUGAAAUGCGUAGAUAUCUGGAGGAACACCGGUGGCGAAGGCGGCAUCCUGGACCGGUAUUGACGCUGAGGAGCGAAAGCCAGGGGAGCAAAGCGGG
rnacentral:rRNA from 1 species